rnacentral:rRNA from 1 species
AAGACAGCUGGAUGGAUAGCCGGGCUGAAGACUCUGCUUGACUAGCUGAGAGGAGGUGCAUGGCCGUCGUCAGUUCGUACUGUGAAGCAUCCUGUUAAGUCAGGCAACGAGCGAGACCCACGCCAACAGUUGCCAGCAUGUCCUCCGGGAUGAUGGGGACACUGUUGGGACCGCCUCUGCUAAAGAGGAGGAAGGAAUGGGCAACGGUAGGUCAGCAUGCCCCGAAUUAUCCGGGCUACACGCGGGCUACAAUGGUCAGGACAAUGGGUAUCGACACCGAGAGGUGGAGGCAAUCUCCUAAACCUGUCCUUAGUUCGGAUUGUGGGCUGCAACUCGCCCACAUGAAGCUGGAAUCCGUAGUAAUCGCGUUUCAAAUAGCGCGGUGAAUAUGUCCCUGCUCCUU